CCGCUCCUGCACCCCGCUGUGUCCCCAACUGUCCCCUGCCACCCCCCGGUGUCCCCAGAGCCCGCACGGCCCCUCGGUGACACGGGUGACAUGGGCAACAUGGGUGACACAGGGACAUGGGUGACACAGGUGCCACAGGCGACACGGGCGACACAGGUGACACAGGCGACAGAGGUGACACAGGUGACACGGGUGACAGAGGGCACAGAGCUCUUUAUUGCACAGGCAGGGAGGGGACCCAAGGUGUCCCCAGGGCUGUCCCCAGAGGACAGUGCCACCCCAGGGCUGUCCCCAGGGCUGUCCCCAGAGGACAGUGCCACUGCAGGUGUCCCCAAGGGUGUCCCCAGAGGACAGUGCCACCCCAGGGCUGUCCCCAGAGGACAGUGCCACCCCAGGGCUGUCCCCAGGGCUGUCCCCUCUGUCCCUCCCUGUCCCCUCUGUCCCCUCUGUCCCUCCCUGUCCCCGCUGUCGCUGUCCCGGUCACUUCCUCAGCAGCUGGGCGCGGGCCCGGCCCAGCCGCUCAGCCAGGCCGUCGCCGCCCGGGCCGGGCUCGCAGCGCGCCAGCACCAGCCCCAGCUCGGCCUCGCUGCGCCGCUCCAGAGCCGCCUCCGCAGCCUGCUCCAGCUCCCUGCGCGGGGACAGCGGGACAGCGGGGACAGGGAGGGACAGUGAGGGGACAGAGGGGACAGAGGGGACAGAGGGGACAGAGGGGACAG
rnacentral:lncRNA from 1 species